GGAAGGAUCAUUAACAAAUCUAAUUAUACCUUUGUGAAUUGAGCGGUUGAUUUUUCAACUGCUUCCAUUUUACCUUAUAGUCUAAAUUCAUACAAUAAUUAUAUAAUAAUUUUUAACAAUGGAUCUCUAGGCUCUUGCAACGAUGAAGAACGCAGUCAAUUGCGAUAAGUAAUGUGAAUUGCAUUACCUGUGAAUCAUCGAAUCUUUGAACGCAUUUUGCACUCUAUUUUAAGAUAGAGUAUAUCUGUUUGAGUAUCAUAAAUACUUGUUACAAAUGUAACAUUUUGAGUCAUCAAAUAUUUGUCAUUCAAAAUAUAUACAACAAACUGUGUGGUAAUUAUUGCACAACUGUUAUAUCAUAUAUUGAUCUCAAAUCAGAUAAGAAUACCCGCUGAACUUAAGCAUAUCAGUAAGCGGAGGAAAAGAAACUAACAAGGAUUCCCUCAGUAAUGGCGAAUGAACCGGGAAAAGCUCAAAUUUUAAAUCCGAGAGACAUUCUCUCCGAAUUGUAGUUUAUAGAAAUGUUUUCAGAAUAAGCAUUGAUAAAAGUUCUUUGGAACAAGACAUCAUAGAGGGUGAGAAUCCCGUAAAUGAUCUUUGCCUUUAUUCAAUACGAUACAUUUUCUAAGAGUCGAGUUGUUUGGGAAUGCAGCUCAAAAUGGGUGGUAAAUUUCAUCUAAAGCUAAAUAUUGGCAAGAGACCGAUAGCGAACAAGUACCGUGAGGGAAAGAUGAAAAGAACUUUGAAAAGAGAGUUAAAAGUACGUGAAAUUGUUAAAAAGGAAACGAUUGAGACCAGUAUUAGCUAAAAGAUAAAGUUGUUACAUGUAAUAACGGUCUUCUUUUAGCUAAGUCAGCAUCAGUUUUGGGCAUUGGAUAAGGCUUUUGUUUGAGCUGAUUUUCAGCAAGGACAAUUGACAAACAGUGUUCGGGAUUGAGGUUUGCUGCGUUUAAAGGGAAUUUGGUAUUACUUUUUCAAGUACAAGAUAAGACAUUUAAUGACUUGUCUUGGAAUUGAACUAGUGUAUUUUGUUCUACUAUUACGCAAAGGAUGCUGACGAAAUGGUUUUAAACGACCAGUCUUGAAACACGGACCAAGGAGUCUAACACAUGUGCGAGUAUUUGAGUGUUAAACUCGAAUGCGUAAUGAAAAUAAGCGAUGGGAACUUUUUGUGCACCAUCAACCAAUCUUUUAUUGAAUAGAUUUGAGUAAGAGCAUAUUUGUUGGGACCCGAAAGAUGGUGAACUAUGCCUGAAGAGGGUGAAGCCAGAGGAAACUCUGGUGGAAGCUCGUAGGGGUUCUGACGUGCAAAUCGAUCUUCAAAUUUGGGUAUAGGGGCGAAAGACUAAUCGAACCAUCUAGUAGCUGGUUCCCUC
rnacentral:misc_RNA from 1 species